rnacentral:rRNA from 1 species
UACGUAGGUGGCAAGCGUUGUCCGGAUUUAUUGGGUUUAAAGGGUGCGUAGGCGGUCUAUUAAGUCAGCGGUGAAAUACUCCAGCUUAACUGGAGGGGUGCCAUUGAUACUGAUGGACUUGAGUCAAGUCGAGGUAGGUGGAAUUGACGGUGUAGCGGUGAAAUGCUUAGAUAUCGUCAAGAACACCAAUAGUGAAGACAGCUUACUGGGCUUAAACUGACGCUGAGGCACGAAAGUGUGGGGAUCAAACAGG